rnacentral:rRNA from 1 species
GCGAUACAGGGUGACAGCCCCGUACACAAAAAUGCACAUACUGUGAGCUCGAUGAGUAGGGCGGGACACGUGGUAUCCUGUCUGAAUAUGGGGGGACCAUCCUCCAAGGCUAAAUACUCCUGACUGACCGAUAGUGAACCAGUACCGUGAGGGAAAGGCGAAAAGAACCCCGGCGAGGGGAGUGAAAAAGAACCUGAAACCGUGUACGUACAAGCAGUGGGAGCCUCUUAAUGGGGUGACUGCGUACCUUUUGUAUAAUGGGUCAGCGACUUAUAUUCUGUAGCAAGGUUAACCGAAUAGGGGAGCCGAAGGGAAACCGAGUCUUAACUGGGCGUUAAGUUGCAGGGUAUAGACCCGAAACCCGGUGAUCUAGCCAUGGGCAGGUUGAAGGUUGGGUAACACUAACUGGAGGACCGAACCGACUAAUGUUGAAAAAUUAGCGGAUGACUUGUGGCUGGGGGUGAAAGGCCAAUCAAACCGGGAGAUAGCUGGUUCUCCCCGAAAGCUAUUUAGGUAGCGCCUCGUGAAUUCAUCUCCGGGGGUAGAGCACUGUUUCGGCAAGGGGGUCAUCCCGACUUACCAACCCGAUGCAAACUGCGAAUACCGGAGAAUGUUAUCACGGGAGACACACGGCGGGUGCUAACGUCCGUCGUGAAGAGGGAAACAACCCAGACCGCCAGCUAAGGUCCCAAAGUCAUGGUUAAGUGGGAAACGAUGUGGGAAGGCCCAGACAGCCAGGAUGUUGGCUUAGAAGCAGCCAUCAUUUAAAGAAAGCGUAAUAGCUCACUGGUCGAGUCGGCCUGCGCGGAAGAUGUAACGGGGCUAAACCAUGCACCGAAGCUGCGGCAGCGACACUAUGUGUUGUUGGGUAGGGGAGCGUUCUGUAAGCCUGUGAAGGUGUACUGUGAGGUAUGCUGGAGGUAUCAGAAGUGCGAAUGCUGACAUAAGUAACGAUAAAGCGGGUGAAAAGCCCGCUCGCCGGAAGACCAAGGGUUCCUGUCCAACGUUAAUCGGGGCAGGGUGAGUCGACCCCUAAGGCGAGGCCGAAAGGCGUAGUCGAUGGGAAACAGGUUAAUAUUCCUGUACUUGGUGUUACUGCGAAGGGGGGACGGAGAAGGCUAUGUUGGCCGGGCGACGGUUGUCCCGGUUUAAGCGUGUAGGCUGGU